UUUCUGUUUAACAGCCUG
rnacentral:snRNA from 1 species